UUUCGCGGCCAUUUAAUUUCCUGACGUCACCAUCGUCCCACGUGACCACGAUCGGUUCAAACAUCAAAUCCGAUCCCCUCCACAAAAUAUUAGCGCCCUCUCUCUCGCUCUCACGUGUUAUGCCCCGAAACAAGUGCCCAUUGCGCAUGCUCCGCCAUUUUUAAAUCGACGUUUUCGAUCGCGAUUCGUCGUGAAACUUCGGAAACGACCGUGCAUACGAUGAUGAUGUAAUCGGUUCCUUCUUUCCGUUAGCUGUGUCGUCACUGGUUGUUAAAAAUGGCGGAGGGCUCCCGGAAAAACGUCCGGGAAAUCGGGAAAAGUGGGAAUCAAUUAUGAAGAGUGCUUGAAAAGUGUUCUCUAGACCCUGCGCUUCAUUUUGAUGUAACUUUCAUGGGUGUGCCCCCGUUUUUUCUAUGGAAAAACUGUGAGACAUAACCUCACAUAAGGGCCCCUCUGGUAGCAAUCGAGUCCAGAGGAGGUCGAACAGAACAAGAGGGACAGAAGAUACCACAAGACAAGACUAGAGUAAAGAGGUGGAACCUCAAGUCGAAACAGUCCCUGGAAACAGUCGAGCAUCAGCAGCAGUGAAACAGAAGAGGAUCCGAGGGGGGACGCGCACCGGGACGUCAGAGGUAACUGAUUGACAUUCAAUUUUUUUCUCUCUCGCUCUCUUUUUCAUUUGUUAUUCACUAUGCCAAUCAACUGUUUUGCAACGUUGCUUAUAAGGGAAAAAAAGCAGCAGCAGGAGCAGGAAGAUCUUUGGCAAGUUUUCCUAAUCUAUGCCAGAAGCUUUCUUUUGUUUUUUUGGCCAGAGGAAACAGUAGAAGCUUGCAGAUGACCGGGGACCUUUGGAGCUCAAUUGUUUUAUUUUAUAUUGUGAUUUUUAAUGUUAUUGUUAUUAUUAUUAUUUAAGGUUGUAAUAAAGUGUGCCCUAAA
rnacentral:lncRNA from 1 species